UGUUGGAAUAAGAAAUGGGGAGUUAAAAAACCCAGCUGCUGGAGGUGGCUGCACGAUGUGAACGCACCUAACACUCCGGAGCGCAGGCUUAACAACGCCUAAGAUGAAUUAGGAGUACAUCAAACAUUCUCUCGCCCCCAGAACCGGGUCACAUUGCCUCCAAAGCGCAAGGAAGCGCUGUCCUCAGAGGUGAGCAGAAGAAAGAUGUCUGAUAAUUAUGUUGAUUGUUAACAACUGAAGUUAGUACAGCCCAGAGGAUGGAGUCUGUCUCUCGGAAUUCGCCUGUUUCAUCAGGAGGAUUAGUUCUGCACUGGGACCAGUCACUUGGUCUUGGCCGGGCCCAUUCCCUGAGUCGGUGCGAGGGCGCGACUGGUGUUGGCUGCGCCCCUAUCGCACGCUUGCACACGCUCACUGGAAAAUCUUUAGUCCUGUCCGACCAUCCCUGGUGAUCCUCGGGUCCCAGCGCCCUCUGGGGAUGAGUCACACAGCUGGUCCUCCCCAGGGCCCAGGAGGGGGCUGGGUGCUGAGCAGUAGCGGGGCUGCAGCAGCCCCAGGCCGGGGGCUCUCAGGAAUGGUAUAGUGUAUAGUAUAGCCCCUGGGGGUCUCCAACCGCAGGUAGGCUUAGGAGUUCACUUGGGUGACCUGGAGGUAGAGACUUCUUCACCUGGGUGCAGCUUUGAAGACCCAGACUGCUUUCUUGGGGACACAUCACCUCAGGACCACAGUGGUUGGGGUGGGAGCUGGCCAAGGCUGGAAGGCUGCCAGCAGCAUCCCCCGAGUGGGGGUCCACAUCCCAGAGGGGAGGCAGGUGGGGAGCUGUCCCAGCAGCUGCAGGCACACUGGGGCAGGGAGGACUCACGGGACCCACCCUGUCCCAGGGUGUUUGCUGUUCUUCAGCCCUGGUGGCACCUGUCGGGUGUGGUGGCCAGGAUAGCACAGCAGAAGAGCCCUGACGCCCAGGUGUUCAGCGGCUCCAGCCUGACCUUGAGAGCAGGUCCCAGGAAGCUGCUCAUUGCCAAAGCCAUCAGCCCAAAAUCUGUUCCCCCUGGGCCCUGCAUGGAAUGUCCCAGUCUGCCCGGCAAGUCUGUGAGCUAGUGGGGCAGUCCCCCAAGAACAAAAGUGUGUGCAGAUGGGCCAGGUAGGCAGGCUGGAUAGGGGAGCAGAAGGGAUGCCAGGCCACUCUCAGAUCCCUGGGCUGGGCAGUAGCCUCGUGGGCUCUCAGAGUAUCCUGUGGGCCCUGGUGCCUGGAGGGACACUGAGGUGGGCCAGAGGGAGGGGCAGAGCCCCAGAGAUGCCCCAACUCCCACUCCUUGGCCAGAGCUCAGCCAGAGCAGGCUUUGGGCCCCCAGCUGCACCACAUUAGAGAUGUGGGUGUAGAAGAUGAGUGGGUUGUGCAAAGCCUUUGCGGGUGACCCCGCCAUUCCUCAACCUGCCAGCGCAUUAUUGCUCACCCAAGGGUUCUCCUCCAUGACUUGUGUAAUUUAUUUUGCAAUUACAUCGUUCCGUUGAAUUGAUUUUAGGUCAUUCUCUGUUGCUCCCUCAGUUGUAAACCCUGAGAUGCUGGGGGACACAUCCCCCACUUUGCAGGGCCCAGUAGCUAUGGCUUAUACUUGAAGAGAGCUCCAGAUUUCAUAAAACGUGCUUGCCCGCAUAAUUUCACUCUUCAAAACAGCCCUGCAAGGCAGCGGCCCCUGAGUCCACAGGUGAGCAAAGUAGGGCCCAGGAGCCCAUCAGUGCUUGAGGAGAGACUCACAGAGGUGAGAGAUCACAAGGCCGAGCUGGGAGCACCCGAGACCAGCCUGAAGGGAGGGAGGAGGUCGCCACAUUGGGGGUCCUCACAGUAAGACAUGGAAGGCAGUGCUGCCUAGAAGGAUGCGGGCAGCAGGCCUGCAGGCGGACCAGGGCAGGGAUGGAAUCCCGAGUCCUGUGAGCAAAGGGGAGGGCUGGGAGUGGGCUGGCCCCACAUCCCGUGACAGGGCUGUGUGCACUUCUGAUCUCCAGAUACACAGGUGUUUCUUAGUUACCUUCUGGAGGUUCUGCAGUUUGUGAUGUCAGCCCUGUUAAUGUUUGUUUCAUGGCCCACAAUGUGGUGUAUUUUUCUGAAUGUUCUAUUUCACCUGCAAAUGGGUGGUGGUGUGAUGGCAGCCUUUCUGGCAACCAGUCUGUUUAUCAUGGGAUUCAGAUCACCUGUAGAGUUAUUGAUUUUUUCCUUCUUUCUUUACUGUUUAUUGAGGGAAGUGGGUUAACAUGACAUAUACGUCAUCCAAUUGCCCAAUGACAAAUAUGUUGUCAACUUUUCCAUUUAGUUACCUAUUUCUCUUAAAUAGAGAAGGAACAUUUCACACAGUGAAAUGCAAAGAUUUUCAGCAAAUAUGGUUCUGGGAGUUGUGGUGGACACCCCCCCCCCCCGCAAGCGCCCAGCCCCCAAACC